UUGUUGAUCGAUUGACAUUUAAAAGUAGAAUCGAGUUCGUAAAGGAAUUUCCAGAUGUCACGUAACCGGUGUGUGAAACAGUUUGCUAAUCGAUUGAAAUUUAAAAGUAGAAUUGAGGUCGUAAAAGGGAUUUCCAGAUAUAACCGGUUUGUAAAUCAGUUUGCGAAUAGAUUGAAAUUUAAAAGUAAAAUUGAGUUCGUAAAAGGGAUUUCCAGAUAUAACCGGUGUGUGAAACAGUUUGCUAAUCGAUUGAAAUUUAAAAGUAAAAUUGAGGUCGUAAAAGGGAUUUCUAGAUAUAACCGGUUUGUAAAUCAGUUUGCGAAUAGAUUGAAAUUUAAAAGUAAAAUUGAGGUCGUAAAAGGGAUUUCCAGAUAUAACCGGUUUGUAAAUCAGUUUGCGAAUAGAUUGACGUUUAAAAGUGGAAUUCUGGUAUGACGAAAACAAAUGGCACUACUUGGUUUGUAAAGAAUAGUAACCGUGAUUGAACUGGACUCGGUAGUUGCAAAAAUUAGUGUUCUUAUUGAUGACACUCAGUAGUUUGACGAAGUAAAUUGAUUAUAUGUUAAUUGACUCACGGGUAACAAUAGAAUUAUGAUAGUACUUAUGAUUCUAUGGGUUGAUGCACUUAUAUGAUCUUGCAGUAACAAAUAAACUGGAUUCUGGGUUGCAAAAGUAUGAUAUUUUUCUUUCUUAAUUCUUUGGUCGUUGAUUUCGAUCCAGCCACCAGUGUUGUGUUCGGUAGACGUUGAAAGGAUUGUAUCAAGAGCGCGUCGUCCAAGUUGAAUGUAGGAAUAUAAUUGUACUUUCCUUUUUUUCUCUAUAUAAUUUUUUGAUAAUUUUCCUGGAUAAUGGUUAGACUAUUAGAUGAUUUUCUAUAAUUCUUGGGACAUGUUCAUGGAUAGUGUUCAUAAUUUUGCACAGAUGCGAUUUUUGGAAACGUUUUUCAUAAUUCUUGGGACAUUUUCAUUGAGGUUGUUCAUAAUUUAGCUCGGAUGCGACUUUUGAAAACGUUCUUUAUAAUUAUCGGGACAUUUUCAUGGAAGAUUUUCAUAAUCUAGCUCAAAUGCACCGAUUGGGAUUUUUUUAUAUACUUCUUGGGACAUUUUCAUGGAUGGUGUUCAUAAUUUAGCUCAGAUGCGAUUUUUGGAAACGUUCUUUAUAACUUUUGGGACAUUUUCAUGGAUAGUGUUCGUAACUUUGCUCAGAUGCUCUUCUUGUAAUCAUUCAUUCACCGUUGUGUUGGCAUACGUAUAUUAGCCAGUGUUUCCGUUGUUUAUUUCACCCUCUAUGUUUGUGUUGGUAGGGGCGAGACCCACAACUGUAGCCGAGUGAACCACUGUAGCCGCGUGUCAGUCAGUCAGUCAUUCAGUCCAUCAGUCUGUUUCUUUUGUCGACUUUCCUGAAAACUGUGAUGAUGGUGAGAGGAAGUGAAUGGCCAAGAAACUCACAACUGUAAUUGAAUAUACUACUAGAGCUAAUUUGACGUGGAUGAUUAUUAAUGCUUCUGUUACUAGCAUUAUUUAUUUUUUAUAUAUAUAUGUAGUGUGGAAUUGUAUAAAGCACGUGUGAUGUGUUACACUUUCGUGGGUCAUGUGUUUGCCUGUCUGCUGCGUGUUGGGCUGAUCAAGUCCCCGAGGCAGGCAGGUGCAAGUUACCUGAUGAUACGUUAUUGGGUUUUUUUUCGUAAAUAAAAGGAUCACGCGAGGAA